UUCAAACUAUUUACUGGGAUACUUUGGUUUAUCCUCGCCAUUGUUAUUCCUUUAUGUAUUGGACUGCUGCAAAAGAAUUGCAAAGAUAAAUACGUUUUCCUAAUCUAUGGUUUUUGGGUUGUUCUGAUGUUUGUGCUAUGUAUUUCAAUUCCACGAAAAAGAAACGGAGUGGGUGAACAACCCGAACAAUCUGAACAAACCAUGUUAAACAUCGAUGCGGAUGGUCAAUGUACUGGCGAACGAUAAAAAUUAAAAAAAAGAAUACCAAAAAUAUACCAUGGAUUUGCAGAAAUUGACAUUUAUUUAUAGUUUAGUUAAUCCUUUAUAAUUGUAAGGCAAUUUUGUCUGGAAUGUGUAUCGUAGAUUUAUAUUAUAUUAUUCGUGUUUAAAGUAAUGUUUAAAAGAAAGUGAGACGACGUUUGGUUUAUUAUUGGCGAAUAUUACACGAAUUGUUAUGGUUGACAUGUUUGUGUCUACUGGUAAACUAUAUCUUCUCAAUUGACUAAAUUAGAGUUAUGUCCUUCACCAGAAAAUUUCUUCAAUUAUGCGCGCCUUUAUGACAGCAUUUACUAGAUAUCGGGGACCACAUAUA